rfam:Sorghum bicolor cultivar BTx623 chromosome 8, whole genome shotgun sequence.
GUUGUCAGGUUCACUUCAAUCCAUGUGUGUGUUGGUGUGGGUUGGAGUGGAGUUUAGUUCAAGUUCCACACCAAUCCACCUCAACACAUGUGGAUUGAUGUGAAUCCGAAU